CAUCUGCACUCACCUGAUCACCUCUCUUUGUACUCUCUGUCGCCUCUAGGUCUGCUCGAUCGAUCAUCGUCGCUAUUCACCUAUCCUCGGAGUCACUGUAACCACAUAGAAAGGGAAAAUAGGAAAAAAACAACCUGCAAACCUUGGGAAAGAAGUUUUGCCCAUGCUGCCUUCAGCUGUACCUCCUUGACUCAUUUUUUUGGGAGUUCUAGCGCCACAACCCCCAAUUGAUCCCC
rnacentral:lncRNA from 1 species